rnacentral:lncRNA from 1 species
AAAAUUCUCAGUUUUCAAUCACAAUUUGAUUACAUCAACAAGGUUCACAGACUUUACUCAAAACAAAUGAACUGUUUUAUGAUAUAUCUUUCUAUGUUUAGUAUGUUAUUUCUCUUAAAUUUUAUGGUAAGUUUCAGAAAGCAGACGACUUUUACAUGACCAUAGAGAUGAAAACUGAUUCUUAGAGAUGUUGCUGUCAAAUGAUUUUUUCCUGAGUUCGCCCAGUUUAAUGCAUUGUGGACUAAUGUUUGUGUUUUCGUGAGUUUUCUUUUUUAUCAUGGUGUCCCCUUUUCUUCAACUUAUGGUUAUGAUUAUCCCCUUAGUACUACUAUAAAUUACACUAAUUUUUGUUAUCAAUCUUAUAUGAUGGUGCUAGAAAUCAACCUGUCAUGUGUUCAUACAACAAAUGUUCUCUUUACAUUUGUAAACUUCCUCAAUAUUGAAAACAAAGUAAAUGGAAAACAAAGGAUUUAUGUUUAAAAAUGAUUGAUGUCAAAUUAUUGAAAUAGCUUUAAAAGUCUUCAAAUGACAGAAAAGCUAAAAAAAAAUUAAAUAAAAGUAAAAUGUUGAUUCAAGAUCUUUCGUCUGUUAUUUUCUCUUAUAUUGAAAACUGAUGAAAUAAUGGGCUUGUGAGUAUAAUUUCUGAUGAUCCACCAAUUUACUUAGACUUCUGAUACAUGUACUACAAAUAAAAAAGACUAUCCAAAGAAGGUAAAUUACAAAAAAAAAUACUCCCCACUUUCAAAUGUUGAAAGAAGGUGGGCGAGUGGUCUUUGUAGUUACUACUGUAAUCACUAGCCAGUCAACACAGAGGUUGUAAAUUUGAACCCUGCUCCUGCUGGUGCACUUGACUACAAUCUGAAUUGACUAGGAUUGUCAGUUUUCCUAUCGAGGGUUGGUGGUUUUCUCAGGGCACUCCAGCUUCCUCCACCAAUAAAAACUGACCUCCAUGAAAUAGCCUAAAUGUGGUGCUUAAAAGUUGCGUUAAAACACCAAAAAUCAAAUCAAAUCAAAUGUAUAUUUUUAAGUUGUUGCUUGUUUAAGUUAAACCAUUAUGAAACUCUUUUUUGUAUUGUGUUGUUGAGAUGUAUUCCAUUAUUUUAAUGCAGAAAUUUUUCAUUUGAGAUAUAAUUUCAUUUAACUAACUAAUAGAUAUCUUAUACAAAAAUAAUGCCUCUAGCAAAUACUCUAUAAAGAAGAUUAUGCAACUGUAUAUCAUAUAAAUUAAAUUUCUGCAAAUAAAUUUAAGAAAUAAAACUACUAAAUUUUAACACCACUAUACAUUGUUUUUUUACUGUAUAACUUUUGUGGCCAUAAUUGUAAUUUAAAGUAAUAAGAUAGAAGUAAAAUUAUUAAAUUAAUCAUUGUGAUUUCUUUAAUGUCUAGUUACAACUAUUAGAUGUACAUUCAAGAUGAGAACAGCAUAGCAAAAUAAAACCAUAAUGACCCCUUCACAUAAAGAGAUUUUUUCUUACAAGUUCUCACUGAUCACCAACUCAUAGUCAUUCACAAGCAUCCAUAAAUUACCCAUAAACAUUUUGUUAUUGCAAACACUCUUUAGGAUUCAUGCUGUAAAUACAUUGUAAUAACUCAUAGUAAACCCUAAUAAACCGUAAGUAGCACAUUAUAACCCAUAUGACUAGGUUUAUUCAGGCUCUGAACUAAGCAAAUAACAAAUUCCAGUUAACCUUUUAAUUUGUUUUGAAAUAGGUUUUUUAUUUUUUUAGCUUAUUUGCAUUACGAUUCUUUAGCAGUUUGCAAAAAUGCAAAAUUAAUUAUUACAAUUUCAGUAAAUGCAACAUACAAAUAAUGCUAUUAAAAUUUAAUGAAAUGCAAUUUCAUUUCUAAGAAUCAAAUCCCAUCGCAAUUUCUGGUAAAUAAGAAAAACGUUGCCAAAAUUCUAAAUUUGUAAUGUUUUCUUUCUUUGUACUAAUAGCAAGAUCAAAGAGAGAAAAUAAGCUCAAAACAACCAGCAAGGAAAGC